rnacentral:rRNA from 1 species
GACGAACGCUGGCGGCGUGCUUAACACAUGCAAGUCGAACGGAAAGGCCUGUCCUUCCUUGUGUUGGACGGGUACUCGAGUGGCGAACGGGUGAGUAACACGUGAGUGAUCUGCCCCCAACUUGGGUAUAAGCCUGGGAAACUGGGUCUAAUUCCCGAUAGGACUGCAGGGUGGUGCCUGUGGUGGAAAACGAUUUUCUAGUGGUUGGGGAUGAGCUCGCGGCCUAUCAGCUUGUUGGUGGGGUAAUGGCCUACCAAGGCGGCGACGGGUAGCCGGCCUGAGGGGGUGGACGGCCACAUUGGGACUGAGAUACGGCCCAGACUCCUACGGGAGGCAGCAGUGGGGAAUAUUGCACAAUGGGCGGAAGCCUGAUGCAGCGACGCCGCGUGGGGGAUGACGGCCUUCGGGUGGUAAACUCCUUUCGACCGCGAGGAAGCCGCCUGGUUGGAAGGGUGGUGACGGUAGUGGUAGAAGAAGCACCGGCUAACUACGUG